GGAGCUGUGCCUGAACUAAAGGGCCACUUUGAUGUAGUGCUUCAUGUGGGUUAAAAUCCCACCAACUCCU
rnacentral:tRNA from 2 species